AUACCAUUGUAGGUGACACAUGUGGAUGCAUUAAGGGCCUCCCAUCUGGUGGUCAAUUUUGUCAGCAAAACAUAAGUCAAACAGUAACAACAUCAGUUCCUUCAACAACUAAUGUCGCAUCCCCACAACUGGUGGACAUUGAUGUGAUAAUUGAAUUGCACUUCCCGGUUUCCAGUGUACCCUCUAAUAUUCUAAGUUAUAUCAGAAGCGAGCUGCAAUCACUUACCUUUCCUCUAAAUAUUUCACAGUCUUUAGAAAUAAAAGAAGUCAAUUUCACUACAGCUUGCUCACCAACUUCCAAUGAAUUGUUGUGCCAAUGUGAAGUUGGCUAUUCUUGGCCAUGUGACAUAUGUAUCACCAACAAUUCAUGCAAUACUGUAAAC